UGUUAGUCUCGUUCUUCUCGACAGUGUGACUCACCAGGAUGUCAAAGGUGAGCUUGUAAUCCGCUGGAAGUUGCUGUGGAACCAUAACCCAUUCAGAGAAAACAACCUACCUUUCUGUGGUCAAGAACCAUGGCCUCAGACUGAAGCUCAAGACAACAAUUUGUGAAUAUUUACUAAACUAAAACGGAGGGAUCCCAGGUAAAAGAAUAAGACCAUUUACUGUUCAUUGGAGGUCACAUCUAUUAGUGUAAAAUGAAGAAGAAAAAGAACUCUUGAAGAUCAUCUAGCAGAUAGAUACUUAUCCAUUAGGUUUUACACAUUGACCAGGCAGAUCUCUUCAUGGUCACGUUUUACUUUCAGUUCUCUGAGGGUGAGUUUAUAGACAGUAUCAUUGAACUCUGCUGAGGGCCCCGCCCUAGAAAAAAUGAAGAAUUAUAAAAUCAGGUGUCAACCCAAGAGAAGCAUUCCCACCAGGACAGCAGUGAAGCAAUAGUAGAGAUGGUUUGGCCCUCCAGGCAUACCAUGCAGGGCUCUGUGGAGGGUGCCAUCUUGUGUCUGCGUGUUUUUUUCUUGCAAGCACGAGGCAGAGAAGGAGCUGCGUGACCAGCAGAGAAAGAUCGGCAGUGUUAUAGACGGAAGAAGAAAAAUAAGUUAAAGAAUUAAAAGAAGCUACUUUUUGUUUUUUGAGAUCGGUUACGUUGUGUGCCGAAAGAACAUUUUCAGAGCGGCUACGUUGUGAACGCGUCGUGUUUAAGAAUUCUUGGAAACUCCGGUGAGUAGGAAAGAGUUGUAUAUGGAGUUGACGGUUAUGUUUUAAAUUAAAUUCUGUUAAAAAGGGGAACAAAACAAUUUGGAGUAUGUAGAAAAUGUUAAUUUGUGUAUUAACUGUGUUAUUAAUGUUUACUUUAUUUGAUUUCUUUCUGGUAUACAUAUGCGUGAAUAUGUAAUUUUUGAAAAGUUAAUUGAAAAGGUGGUUGAAGUAUUCAUUGUUUAAAAAGAAUUGUAUUAUACCAUGGUUAUAAUAAUUUUAUUUGUUAAAACUUUAUUCAUACAGUUAUUUUUUCAGAUUUGUGGAAAGGGAAAUUCCUUUUACUAAUAGUAAUACUUGUUAAAAGGAUUACUGAAUUUUUUGUUUGUAAAUUGGUUUUGGUGAACUACUAAAAAAAAGAAAACCAUAAAAACAAUUUCCAAAUUACAGGGAAAAGAUACUGAGUUUAUUGAAAGAUGAGAUCUCACUUGAACUAUAGAUUAUAAUGUGUCUGAUUUAUUCUGUACUAUGUGCAGAAUUGUUUUGAUGACCCUCAAUUGUAGCUCGGACUACAAUUCUUCAUUGGAAGUCGAUGGCGAGCCAGGCGUAGAACGAGAGUAUCCUGUUGAAGAUUGAAGUACAGUGUGGCAGCUGUUACUGAUUCCCAUCAACAGGAUUGAACCCAAUCUGACAGGACAAGAGAUAAGGAAUAUUCCUAUGCACAUUCACUUAUCAUACCCGGGUAGAGAACAAAUUGAGUGCACAAACGAGACAAAGGACAAUUUAUUUUAUACUAUUUUUUUAUAAAGCUGAUUUAUUUUGUAAAAGAAAUUCAGUUUAGGAAGAAAUUAUUGUUUAUGUUGUUGUUCUAUUUUGUGUUGUGAAAGGUAAUGGAAUAAACCUGCCCUCUGUUAUUUAAA